rnacentral:lncRNA from 1 species
UCAUUAUUCAAGAACUAUUUUCUAUCCUCCAGGUUACCUCAUGUUCCAUGGAGCUCCAGCUAUCAGAACCAUAUCUCAGGCAUCAGGAGAAAGAAAAGGUGAUGGAGAAAAGGGAUGCUCCUUCAAUAUUCUAAUUAUUUAUUUGAGAGAGGUGGGGAAGGGGAAAGGAGUACGGAGAAGCAGACUCUCUGGCUAAGCAGGGAGUCCAACCCAGGGCUCAAUUCCAGGACCUUGGGAUCAUGACCUGAGCUGAAUGAAGGUAAACACUGAACCACCCAGGUGCUCCUUUAUAAGAAAAGAGAAACACUACACGAAGAGCACGCAGGAGGCAAUGUCGUGUGACUAUGGAGACCAAGACUGAAAUGCUGCAGGUACAAGCCAAGGAAUUCCUGGUGCUAUUGAAAAUAAGGAGAUUUAUUAUC